rnacentral:rRNA from 1 species
UGGGGAAUUUUGGACAAUGGGCGCAAGCCUGAUCCAGCCAUGCCGCGUGCAGGAUGAAGGCCUUCGGGUUGUAAACUGCUUUUGUACGGAACGAAAAGGUGCCUUCUAAUAAAGGGCGCUCAUGACGGUACCGUAAGAAUAAGCACCGGCUAACUACGUGCCAGCAGCCGCGGUAAUACGUAGGGUGCGAGCGUUAAUCGGAAUUACUGGGCGUAGAGCGUGCGCAGGCGGUUUUGUAAGACAGAGGUGAAAUCCCCGGGCUCAACCUGGGAACUGCCUUUGUGACUGCAAGGCUGGAGUGCGGCAGAGGGGGAUGGAAUUCCGCGUGUAGCAGUGAAAUGCGUAGAUAUGCGGAGGAACACCGAUGGCGAAGGCAAUCCCCUGGGCCUGCACUGACGCUCAUGCACGAAAGCGUGGGGAGCAAACA